UACGAAGGGGACUAGCAUUGUUCGGAAUCACUGGGCGUAAAGCGCACGUAGGCGGAUAUGUCAGUCAGGGGUGAAAUCCCGGGGCUCAACCUCGGAACUGCCUUUGAUACAGCAAGUCUUGAGUUCGAGAGAGGUGGGUGGAAUUCCUAGUGUAGAGGUGAAAUUCGUAGAUAUUAGGAAGAACACCGGUGGCGAAGGCGGCCCACUGGCUCGACACUGACGCUGAGGUGCGAAAGCGUGGGGAGCAAACAGG
rnacentral:rRNA from 1 species